GCCUGGGUUCUAGGUUCUAGUCAGUCUCUCAGCAUUUGGCCAGGAAGCUUUCUUUCUUCUUUUUUUUGUUCUUCUCCUUUCCCUGCCCAAAUUCAGGUCCAUAAUCAUCAACAACCACGACCGUAACAACACUGCACACGCCUUCAGGAGCUGUCAAAAGGCCUGCACUUCCCUACCAUCUUUAGAGCUUCCAGUUGGAACUUAGACAAGAAUUAUUGAUUGCCAGGCUCUGUUGGAGUCAAGAAUAUUGGCUUCCGCCCAUCUGGAGGUUUCUAUUCCUAUGACCUCCUUACCCCGCGCUUUUCUGUAUUUUAAUUUCUCUCCUUGAUGUCCUCCUUCAAUCAGCCCCAGCCCUUCACUCCACCGAGCAGGCUAGGCGAGUGGCAGCAGAGCUGUUGUACCAUGGAGUCGCUCUGGUUUCCAGCUCUCUCCCCCACCCAACUCUUUUCGUGCUUAGUUAGCUCCCGGCGGCCCCCUUCGUCCCCGGUAUCUUUCUGACCCUGGCUUUUCCUUUCUCUCCCUUGGUCUCACUUCUCCUCCUGGCCCUUGGCCUUUUUCUUCCCUCUCUCCUCUCGUCAGGAUCCAGUGUUGCCUUCUCUUUGUGCAACCGUCUUUCUCCACCUUCAUCCUAAGCUCCGUCUCAGCGCCAGCUCCCCUGGUCUUUGAUUGGGGGCGUUUCACCUCCACCCCGGUUUCCAGCAGUCUCGCCCCUAGGUCGCUCGGCGGUGCUCUGUCCCCACCCGUGCGCGUGAGCACCAGUUUCCCCCUUCUACCUCUCAGCCCCGCGCCUAGCCAC
rnacentral:lncRNA from 1 species